rnacentral:misc_RNA from 1 species
CCGAGUUUACAACUCCCAAACCCCUGUGAACAUACCUAUCGUUUGCUUCGGCGGAUCCGCCCCGGCGCCCUCGGGCCCGGAUCAGGCGCCCGCCGGAGACCCCAAACUCUUGUAUUUCUUUAGUAUCUUCUGAGUAAACAAGCAAAUAAAUUA